GACGAACGCUGGCGGUGUGCUUAACACAUGCAAGUGGCGCGACGAACCAGAGCUUGCUCUGGGGCAAAGCCCCGAACGGGUGAGUAACACGUGGGUAACCUGCCCCGAUGACUGGGACAACCCGGGGAAACCCGGGCUAAUACCGCAUGAUGCAUCUCGGCUCAAGCUGGGAUGCCAACGGUAGCUUCGGCUUCCGGCUGGGGAGGUGCCCGCGGCCCAUUAGCCUGUUGGUGGGGUAAUGGCCUACCAAAGCAACGAUGGGUAGCUGGUCUGAGAGGACGAUCAGCCACACUGGGACUGAGACACGGCCCAGACUCCUACGGGAGGCAGCAGUGGGGAAUCUUGCGCAAUGCGCGAAAGCGUGACGCAGCAACACCGCGUGAGGGAAGACGGCCUUAGGGUUGUAAACCUCUUUCAGUUGGGACGAAGGUUCGACGGUGAAUAGCCGGCCGGACUGACGGUACCUUCAGAAGAAGCUCCGGCUAACUACGUGCCAGCAGCCGCCGUAA
rnacentral:rRNA from 1 species